UGAGCCAUUUCGAGAAACUUGGGGACUGUGCGACUUGGCUGGUGUGCUUGCGCACAUCACCUUGUCGCUGGAAACCAAUUUAAUCGCAGUGGUUUGAACCGGGCAAAAGUCGUAACAAGGUAGCUGUAGGUGAACCUGCUGCUGGAUCAUUACACACUA
rnacentral:rRNA from 1 species